UGCCGCUCCCUCUCCACACGCCGGCCCUCCGUCCCUGCGCCACUCUUGCCUGCAACAUCGUCUCUCUCGCUCUCUGGAUCCUGGCCGUUGCCACAGACAGGGCAGCGCCUCUCACUCUCUCCCUAACGCGUGCGGCAGCGACAGCAUGGCAGGAGGUGGCCAUGGUGCCUGCGCCCCCAUGGCGGCAGCUCCCGGCCACAGAGCAGCGCAACCGCCCCCACAUGAUGGCCGCUAGUGCUGCUUCCUCUCGGCGCUGCAUCCUCACGCUGAUCCGUGUGGCCUCAACGUAACCCUAGCUGCCUCUUCCUGCGCGCCGCAACCGGUUCGUCUGCUCUACGCAUGCACGUGGGUGCAUCUUCUGCUCCAUUCGCUUCUUGCCGUCUCCCAGGAACAACUGUGUAACUUUGAUUUGUACAACUGCUCUUCGUUUUAAUGGUAUGACCUUACAGAAGUGACUUCACAGCUCUAAAAGAUUACAUCUCAUUCUGUGGUUCCAAUGUGUUAUUUCAAAACAAUUACGGAUGUUGCUGAUGUUGCUAUUGCCAUAAUGCUUUCUUGGAUACAGGUUUGUGUUUCUCCCUGCUAUUUUCUUCCUUUACAAUGGCCAUGAUGCUCCCGUGUGGAACAUUUGGUCUCCUAUGUUUCAUACCACACGAAAUGCAACCUCUCGCCUCUGAUUUCUUGCAGUUUACUAAUAUUUAUGUUCCGAUGUAUGUGUCUAUCCUGUACAAUAUUUAUGUUCUAUUUUCUACACAACUAGGUUUUAGGAGUGAAAUUGUUCUAUGAGUUUCAGAUUUGCCUGAGGUGCCGACCUUGAAGUUUUAAUUCAUAGGGACAGGUCAUGCAAUUCACUAUAUGAUCAAAUACAGUAUGUCUCCAUGGAGGUAGUAUUUAUCCCUCAAAAUGAUUUUAUUUGAAAGUAUAAACUGCCAUGUGAAUUUAGUCAGAGAAAUAAGAGGUUUGUAUGUAGCCAUCAUCUGUUUAUAGAUUAUGAAUUUGACUUGAUUCUUGGUCAACAAUAAUGGGCAAAGAAUGAUAAUACGACUACUGUUGCCUCAAGGCGACUUCCUCUAUAUUUCACAUAACCAGUCUUUUUCUGACUUAUUGAUGGUGUUGCGACCUGUAUAGUGUUACUACUUUAGAACUGUGUGGUAACGGAUAACUAUGGCAAAAAAAAACAAAUAGGUUUAACAAAUUUUAUGUGCCGCCAAUUAGUUUUCAAGACCCUUAUGUGUACCUCUCAUGGCUUUAUGUUAGUUGGUGCAGAUGUAAAUAUAAAAUAUUCUAGGUCCAACAACAUUCAUAAAUGGCGUCUUAAAGUUUGUAUGACUCAUAUGUAUCAUUAUUUAUUCUAUGGUAAUGGAUAAAGGUCUAAGAUAUCCAUGGUGGUGUUCGUCCAAUGAAUUUAAAGUGAUUUCUUAUGUCCAGAUCAGUCAUAGUAUCCAACAUUACCCUUUUUACCUUCUAUCAUGGUAUGUCGUGCUAUCUUGGCCUGGUAGCAACCUAGGAUGAACUAAAUAAAUUUGCUUUCUACAGAAUAGAUUCGAUUGAUGUGUGGAAUUCAUUGGCUGCUUUGGAAACAAGGAUAUUGUUAGAAAUCACAAAUAAACAAUUCUUUCCAAUUCUUCUGUGAAUACCUUUUUUAGUUCAUUGCAGAGCGCAGUUUGUUACCAAUGUGUAUAUGGUUGUUUUAGCUCUUGGCAGCUUUCCUUCUUUGAGGACAACUUCCUUUUUAUGCAUCCCUUAUUUAUUCCUAUCAAAACUUUAAAAUACCUGGCCAUUAACACUUCCUUCUCACUCCUUUUUACAUACUUUAAGUAGGAAUUAUUUUGUUUGUGUUCUUCAAUUCAUACCACUUUCAUUAGAUUCCUUUGUCGAUUUAAACUUCCAUAUGUUGGUUGGCAUUUGCACCUUCAUCAGUGUUCAUUUGAGAAGCUGAAAGCGAUUGGUCAGACUCAAUAGGGGUUUUGUCAGAUUCAUCUAGAAAACAAGGUCAGAAUCAUAGGGGUUUUGUGAGAAUCAAAGGGUAUAAGUCAUACAAGUUGGAUGCAAACACAAAACUUUUACAUUGGUUUAUUUGCAAUGACUCGGUUCAAGACCUCAUAUUAUGCAUUGCUUCUACUCUUUUGUAUACAUUUAUUUUUACAUUAGGCAACUAAGUUUACAUAUCUAGCAUUCACAAGAUUUCAUGUUUGUUAUCAACCAUAUAUAGGAUAUCUUAUGGACACAGAAACUUCACAGUUUUAAUAUAUUUGCAGCACAAGCCCAGAUACAAAGUUUGGCCCAUGUUUAGACUUUUCUAUUUGAUAGACCUGCUGCCUCUCUUUAGGUUAUAGUUGGACACACACAAGAUGCUACUACCCACGAUUUGAAUGCCUUCACAGCUUCACACAUAUUCGCAGCGUAAAAAUAGGAAAAAAUUGAGUUUUAUUCAGCUACUUAAAAGGUAUGCAAUCUACCAGUUUUUAUAUAUGACAAAAAUUCAAUCUACUUACUCAGUGAUGUAACAUGUAAUUCUGAACUUUAAUUACCUUUUGGAAAUCUUUUCAGCAGUACAUUUAGGUGUCGAUUGUAUUAUCUUGUGAAAUGAUACUUAUUUAAUCACAGAAAAUAGAAGUCAGGACGUCAGGUAUCUUUGCUAAAUGUUUUAGAGAGGCUAAUUCCAGUCAUUUGCCUUUACCUUCUCACAUAACAUCUAUAAUUCUACAUUCAUAUAUGCAGUUAUAUCUAUGCUAAUGAUCCACCUCACCUACAACAAGAGAUUGAAUUCAGAAUGCCUGUUUGUUCCAUACAUGAGUAUUAUGUUUUACUAACGGUCUGAUUUCACAUUUUCAUAUUCUUAAUAAUAGUAGUCUUCCCAACACAUUGUGUCUGCAAAUACUCUUACCUGGAGAACUAUUAACAUGUUCUGCAGUCAUGGAGUGAGAUGAAUUCAUAGUUCAAUUUCAAAAGUAAUAACUAGAAUUUGAUCCAUGGUCCUUAGCCUUAGCAUGCUUAUAAUAACUAUGACAUAUGAUAACUUACAGUCAGACUGGUUGCUUCCAUUGACUUCAUCUGCUUUAUUAAAUGCAGCGACACCUGUUGCCUCCAAGACCGAGGGCGCUAGACAAGCCGCGACAAAAAAGACCCCAAAAGGAACCUAAAGGUGUUGGGAUGGAUCAAAUGGAAUCAGGUGUUCAAGUUCACAAAAAAGAAGAACACACUUUUGAUUUGCAUGCGUUACAACAACUGGCUGAAACUUUGAACGUAAGCAUGGAGGAUGCCGAGAAGAUCUACACCGACAGAAAAGAAAUUCCCAAGGCAAAAGUCGCAUACGAGUAUAAAAUAGGCAAAGAUCUAAUGGCCACAAAAAGGGAGAUUAAGGAGUUGUCGCCUGCUAUGCGUAAGCUGCAUGAUUAUUACUUGGUUGAUACUGUAAAAGCGGGUUGCUGCUCUUUUGGUGUUUGUAUCCCCAAGCAUUACAUUUUUGAGAAAGAAGAAGAAGAGAUCCACUGGGUUGAAUAUGCGGCCUUGUUUCAGCUCUUCCACAGGCGUGAUCUCGAUCUUCAAAUAAUGAUGAUGUGGACUAUGUUAGAGGCAAAAUAUUGCUUAAAGAAAGGCCUGGAUCAUAUAGCCUUCUUGGACCCGGUGCGAGUAAACCAGAAUACAUGCAAAGGCAUCCACAGUGAUGUGAAAGAUUUGGUUGAUGAGUUGACCAAAAUCUUCUAUCGAAUCAAACAUACUCCUAGCCUACAACUGCAUGAACCAUUACGUCCUCAUAGAUAUCAAACUUGCAGAAUCACGUGUCAAGGUGUGGGACUCAAAGAGAGGGAAACUUUCUUAGUUGAACGACCUACUCAAAGUGCUAAACGAUGUCAAGGAAAAUAUGGAUGGGGACAGGACGAUCCAAUUUGAGGCUUAUUAUAUGGAAGCACAUACCCUAGAACAGCUUAUGGCCAACAAUGAAUGUGGGUUUUACGUGAUGUGGGCAAUGCACCAGUACCUUGGCGGGAAUCAAUUGCGCAAUGAACUUAAAACCCAACAACUAUUAGACAUGGAGAUCAGAAGAUUCCAAGACAAGCUAGCAGUCUUCAGCAAUGACGAGGUGAUGACUAGAGAAGGAUAUUUCAGCAUUUGGCAAGCCAAGAAUAGGAGCAGUUUUGAUGUCAACAUGUUCUAAAAACUAUUGUAAUAUACAUUUUUAUUGUAACUUAUACAUCUCUAUAACUAAAAAUUAUAAAAAUGACCCAUCUACCACA